rnacentral:rRNA from 1 species
UACAUGUGGGGCAAGCGUUGUUCGGAAUUACUGGGCAUAAAGGGUGCGUAGGCGGCUUGUUAAGUCAGGGGUGAAAUCCCGCGGCCCAACCGUGGAACUGCCUUUGAUACUGGCGAACUUGAGUGCGUGAGGGGUAACCGGAACGAGCAGUGUAGCGGUGAAAUGCGUAGAUAUUGCUCGGAAGGCCAGAGGCGAAGGCGGGUUACUGGUACGCAACUGACACUGAGGCACGAAAGCGUGGGGAGCAAACAGG